UUUUUAUUUUAAUAUUUAAUUUAUCUAUAAUGUUAAUAAUAAAUAGUAAUGGUUGCUAUAAUUGAUAGUCAAGUAAUAGUGAUGGUUAAGUGGUAGUGUAGCAACAGCAAUAGUGGUAAUGGUAAGAUAAGGUAGUGAUGGUGGUAGUGGUCAGGUAGUGGUAGAGGUGUUAAUAACUAAGUGGCCAUAACGAUGGUCAAGUGAUGGUGAUAGCGAUUGUGAUAACAGGAUAAUAAUGGUGGUGGUUGUGAUAAUGGUGACGGUGGCGGUGGCGGUGGCG
rnacentral:misc_RNA from 1 species